rnacentral:rRNA from 1 species
AGAGUUUGAUCAUGGCUCAGAACGAACGCUGGCGGCAGGCUUAACACAUGCAAGUCGAACGCGUGUAGCAAUACACGAGUGGCGCACGGGUGAGUAACGCGUGGAUAUCUGCCUUUUGGUUCGGACUAACCCCGGGAAACUGGGGCUAAUACCGGAUGGUUCCUUCGGGAUAAAGAUUUAUCGCCAAAAGAUGAGUCCGCGUACGAUUAGCUAGUUGGUGAGGUAAUGGCUCACCAAGGCGACGAUCGUUAGCUGGUCUGAGAGGACGAUCAGCCACACUGGGACUGAGACACGGCCCAGACUCCUACGGGAGGCAGCAGUGGGGAAUAUUGGACAAUGGGGGCAACCCUGAUCCAGCCAUGCCGCGUGAGUGAUGAAGGCCUUCGGGUUGUAAAGCUCUUUUGGCGGGGACGAUGAUGACGGUACCCGCAGAAUAAGCCCCGGCUAACUUCGUGCCAGCAGCCGCGGUA